UUAUUUUUAUCAAACAAAUUUGUUUAAGAAACAUAUUCUUAGGUCUUUUAAAAUUUCAAUUAGAAAAGUCUACAGUCAAAUCUAGGAUGGGGAGAGAGGUCGUAGAAGUGAUUUUAAACAGAACUUCAGCCACACAACCUUGGGGAUUCAGGGUGGUUGGAGGUGUGGAUGAGGGUCUGGUUCUGAAAGUAGAAAAGGUUUG